UUUUCCUCAUUAACAAAGAAUUACGCCUCUUCUUCGGGUGCACCCCAGACACGCCCCCAGCGCCCAGAGAGAGAGAAAGAGAGAGAGAGAUCUGCUAACCUAAGCACGCUGCCGACUGCCAUGGCGAGCUCAGAUGCAGGAACGUCGUGGGGAAGUGAAUAUCAAGUGUUCUUGAGUUUCAGAGGACCCGAUACUCGCUCGGGAUUCACAGAUUUCCUCUAUCAUUCUUUGACCGAUGCUGGAAUCCGCGUCUUCCGAAACGACGAAGAGCUCCGUGUCGGCGAAACGAUCGAUGGAUUGCUUAUGCAAGCCAUCAACAACUGCAGGAUCUACAUACCCAUCUUCUCUCCAAACUAUGCUUCGAGCCUGUGGUGCCUCAGAGAGCUCUCGCAGAUCGUGACGAACACCUUAAAAUCAGAAGGUAAUAAAGAGAUCCUACCUGUUUUCUACGACGUCGAACGUGAUGAUGUCAUACUGAAUACUCCGUUAUAUCGCGGUGCCCUGCUCAAUUUGGAGUGCAAGAAGAAAUUGAGGAAUGAGCAAGUAGAUGCGUGGAGACAGGCUCUUAUGGAUGUUCGUGCGAUAAAAGGGUGGGAAGUGAAGAAGUACAAAAGCGAGGGCGAAGUGAUAAAAUUGUUGGUUGAAAGAGUCAUCCAAAAGCUAAAGACAAAACAGAAAUCGGUGAUUGAACGUUUGGUUGGAAUUGAUGAUCGGAUAUCAGAAAUAAGCAACUUAUUAGACAUUAACUCCAGUGGGGUACGAUUCAUUAAAAUAUAUGGCAUGGGAGGUAUCGGUAAAACGACUCUCGCCAAUGCCGUAUUCAAACAAUUUUUUCCUCAUUUUGGAAACAGUUGUUUUGUUAAAGAUGUUCGAGCUAAGUCGUCAAGAACUAAUGGCUUAGUUGAGUUGGAAAAAGAGUUAUUAGAAAAAAUUGGUCAUCCUACAGGAACAAGGAACAUAGAUGAAAUGAAUUAUGGAGUAAAGAGGACUAGAGAAGCACUUUGCAAUGAGAAAGUCCUCAUUGUGCUCGAUGAUGUUGAUAAUAGGGAACAAGUGGAGAAAUUAAUUGGAAAUAGUACUUUGUGUUCAGGAUCUAGAAUAUUGAUAACAACUAGAGAUGAAGGAGUUUUGCCAACCAAUACAUCCAACUAUCCAGUUUUAAAUUAUGAAAUGGAGGCGAUGAGUACUAAUCAUGCCAUUGAGCUUUUUAGUUGGCAUGCAUUCAAUAAAGACUCUCCUUCACCUGGUUACAAUGAUCUCUCAAGGGAAAUCGUAUCUACUACUGGGAGACUUCCAUUAACUCUUGAAGUAAUUGGUUCAUUCCUCUACCGGAAAGUGCGAGGACUAUGGAUAGAGACAUUGCAUGAGUUAAAAAAAUCACUUCCCAAGGAUGUUUUUACGAGGUUGAAGAUCAGCUAUAAUGCCUUAGAUUUUGAGCAGCAAGAAAUUUUCCUUGAUAUUGCAUGCUUUCUUAUUGGUGAGGAUAAGACAAAUGCAGUUUACAUGUGGAGAGACCUUGAACUUUCCCCGGAUUAUGGAGUUGAUGUCCUCAUUCGCAUGUCUUUGGUAAAGAUUGUGGAGAACAAUAAGUUUUGGAUGCAUGAUCAACUUAGAGAUCUUGGACAGGAAAUUGUUCAUCUAGAAAAUCCAAUAGAUCUCAGAGCGCGGAGUAGGAUAUGGACUUGCAGGGAGGUCCUCGAUGCAAUAAGAGCAAAGGAGAUGGACUGGAAUGUUCAAGGACUAUCUCUUGAUUCAUAUGCACAAAGGUUUGAUGAUAACGUUGUUCUAAGUAAAGAGAUUGGAACGUUUCAGCGUCUAACGUUCCUUAAAUUACUCAGAGGAACCUUUGCAGGCGACCUAGCAAAUUUUUUUCCUAACUUAAGAUGGAUUUCUUGGUAUUUUCCUCCGCAAAUCAAUAAAUGGACGAACAUGUACCUAAAGAAUGUUGUCGUUCUUGAAUUUACAGGGAUUGGCUUGUUAGAUGAUUCGAGAUUGCAGGGCUUAAUCGAGAGGGCAAGAAAAUUGAAAGUUCUCUCUCUUAAAAGUUGUCACUGCAUAAAAGAAGCACCAAACUUCUUUGGAUGCUUGAAUUUAGAGAGGCUUGCUUUUGAAGAUUGUUCUAAUUUGAAGAGAAUGGACAGCUCUAUUGGGAAAUUAAAGUAUUUGAUUGACCUAAAGAUUGAUGGCUGCUUUUGUCUUAAAGAGUUGCCUGAAGAAAUCGGGGACCUAGUGAAUCGAAGUACUUCUUUGUACAACGGUGUAAAGUAAAGAAACUCCCAGAUUCCAUAUGGAAGUUGAAAUCACUACGCGAAUUGCAUUUUUCAAAUCACUUUGUUGCAUUCGUUUCAACAGAUUUAUGGGAGUUACCUAGGGCCAUUGUAAAGCUUCAAGAGCUGGAAGUGCUUCUAGUCAAUAGUUUCAAUUUAAAAGGUCAACUUCCUUUUAGCAUCGGAAAUCUGCCCUUUCUAAGGAUUCUAAAUCUAUCAAAUACCUGUGUUAGUGAAGUUUCAGAGACCAUUAGCAUGCUCCGUAACUUGAAAAGGUUGGAGUUGAUGGCAUGUCAUUAUAUUCAAGAGUUGCCAAUGCUCCCAACAAGUUUAACCCAUCUACGAGUGUCAUCUGCAUCGUUGCGAGCAAUCCCGAAUCUUUCUAACUUGAGCAAUUUGGUUGAGUUGGAUCUAAGUAUAGUGGAGAAGGAUGAGAUAAACUGGUAUGGGAGUUACACUUGUGAUUGGCAAGUACCCCAGCUGUGUUCGAGGUUGUGAAUGUGGAAAAACCUAAUAGCAUCCAGCGUGAGGAAACUGUCACGUACUGUCUAGUUAGAGCAAACUAUUUCCAUCUUAAAAAAGAUGACUGAAAUAUGGACGGAAAUAUCAAUUUUGCAGGCAGAGAAAGAGAGUAGAAUGGCAGGGGCCUGGGCACGAGACCAAAAUUGUUUUGUGGGUCAUGUGCUACUAAGAAAAUCAGAGCACUAGAGGAAAUUUCUUUUCCCCCUAAUUUUGCUUCCAUGUUCUAAUAGGGAACUGAAUUUUAUUUACUCUUCUGUCUCGAUGAGUUAUGGUGGAUUGGGUGGUUAUUCAAACUGGCUAAGCUAAGCUUGGGACUUCACAAUGUCCUUGCUCCUGUUGCUCCUGCUGAGCGACUUCCCUUUUCUGCUAGCUCGAGUUGAUUGUUUGGAAUGGACCUUGUAAACCUUUCGGCAACUAUCCUCUCUUGGCAGAAGCUACGCCUUGAUAAUUUCAAUUUAAUUGUGUCCCUCUCUCUGAACCUGGCCAAUUUGUCAGCUUUAGCUGUCUCUAAUCUCCAGUGCAAGAUAUUUCAACUCAUGGGCUUCAAGUUCCACAUCUAAUGGAGUUGCUUGUCGAAAGGCGGGUACCCCUUGAGAGAUUCAGGCUAUCAAGCAUGAGGAAGGCAAAAAAUGUCCAAGUGAGAUACUAUCUGAAGCUAGUUGAGAUCCAACUGUCUCAGGUGUUCAAAUCACUGGAUGCAUUGUCUAUUGAGUUGCGCGAGUCCUUCGGAAGGCUACUCUAUGUGGGGGAAGCAGGGCAUGAUAAUAAUGAUUCUUCUAAUGAACAUUAGUUGUGACGGGAGACUAAACCUUCCAUUGAGAGUCUUAUAUAAGUUGCAGAUUCUCACGUUGCUUGGAAGCAGGGUACAUCAGAAUCAGGGGAACACUUCAACCUUAAGAAAUGCCAUUAUACGCAAAGACUUGGUGGUUUGUCAAACUUGAGAAUCUCAUUUCUUUACAUAUCCGUGACAGCGAUGGGCUACAGGUAGUCAAGGGCCCUGAUGACCUAGAGUUUUUGAAUAGUUUACAAGUUCAUGGAUACGGAUCAUCGGAAAGGUUAAUUGAUGUAACAAGAACCCGACUGCCAAAUCAUAGCCUGGCUUGUAUCUCCGUUGCAGGAAAGACUUUUGGUGCUUCCUCGAGUCCUACAAGCACCAUAAGGUGGUACGCUGCUGUCCAGACCAUGGACAGCCGGCGUCUCUAUCCCUUUGACGUCAUUAAAUCCUUUGUGCAAGCUCCGAGGCAACUCUCACGGUUCCUCAUGUCUCGUGGACGCAUCGGGAUGAGUUUUGAAUGUUUUAAUGUCAUCAUCAAGUUCAAAGAAUGUGUCGACGCCCGCUGCUCACACUGGUAGGCGUACUGGAUACGGUUGAUUUCUCGUGCCUUUGAUUUCAUCUCGCCUCCUGGGUUGGCCUCUGUUGGCCCUCAUGAUCCAUGGACUCGUCGGGAUCGCCUCGGGCUAUUUCAGAUCCAUUUUUACACUAAAAGAGAGGUGAGCGCACGCUGUCCAGGUCAAGAAGUGGCUGGAAAGCGGGCCUUUGACUCUUGUCCCGGCUUUGAGAAGGGCUCCGAGUGAUCCCAGUCCCCCCUUUUGCAAGUUAGCAUCAUUUCCGUGUCGUUUUGCAUGCUUGUAACAUCUUUUAUUCAAGUUCUAGCCUUGUAUUUAGUUUUUUUGCUCAUUUAUACCUAUUUAGCUCAGUUUAGAUCCUGAAUUAUUUUUAUCAUUAUAAAAAGGAAAGGGAUAAAAAAUAUUUUUAAAAAAAUGCAUUUAAACAAUAUUGCAUCGUUGGACUUGUUGUAAUUUGGCUCAGUUUCGUUCUAUUUAGUUUAAUAUUUGUGGCGUCAUCAACGAGUUUAGGAAAUGUGCAUUCCUUUGUCGCGGAUGGACUCCACUUAAGCUCGCUCACGGCUUCUUUCUCUCUAGGUUACGGUAUAUGUGCAAGAGGAAGUAGAAAAUGAAGCUCUCAAGUUUUCUCUAUUUCACUCUACGGAAGUCACGGCCGAAUGGAGGAGAUGAAGUGGAGUGUCCGAACCCCGACGCACUCUUCCUUUUGCCCCUUUUAUAGAGCCACGUUUGAACCUGCCGCUUUCCCUCUAUUUCCAUUGCAAGUUUCACAUUUUUUAUUCCGGUUUUACCCUGCAAUUUGCAGCGGGUCUGACUAGCUCAUUUACCUUUUGGAUGAUCUCUUCUAGCUGGUGAAAUGCUUCGGCUUUUUCUUGUACAUUUCUGUCCCGACCCUCUCGAAGCAGUCCUGAUGUAUGUCCGGGGGGGACAGAUUUAGGGGUAAUGUUGAGCAGGUGUAAACGGUCCUGAUAUUCGAGAUUCUCUCCCUCAUUCAACGCAAGUUCUCCAAAACCUUUAUCUCGUGUAGCGUUGAAAGGUUCUUUUGAUUUGAUUCUAUGAAUUCUAUUCUAUCUUGAAA